rnacentral:rRNA from 1 species
AGAUUGAACGCUGGCGGCAUGCCUUACACAUGCAAGUCGAACGGCAGCACGGGGGCAACCCUGGUGGCGAGUGGCGAACGGGUGAGUAAUAUAUCGGAACGUGCCCAGUAGCGGGGGGAUAACUACGCGAAAGCGUGGCUAAUACCGCAUACGCCCUACGGGGGAAAGGGGGGAUCGCAAGACCUCUCACUAUUGGAGCGGCCGAUAUCAGAUUAGCUAGUUGGUGAGGUAAAGGCUCACCAAGGCGACGAUCUGUAGCUGGUUUGAGAGGACGACCAGCCACACUGGGACUGAGACACGGCCCAGACUCCUACGGGAGCAGCAGGUGGGAAUUUGGACAAGUGGGGAAACCCUGAUCCAGCCAUCCGCGUGUGCGAGUGAAGGCCUUGGGUUAGUAAGUCGUACUUUGG